CCACCGCGCGACUGGCAACAGAAGCGGCACGGCAAACCCCACCGGGAGCAAGACCGAAUAGGGGCGGUGCGAAGGGAAACCUUCGAGGGCUGUUUCCGGCCCACCGCCCGGGUAGGUUGCGUGAGGCGCAUGGCGACAUGCGCCCAAGAUGAAUGGCCGCCACGUUCCCGCGCCGCAAGGCGUGGGGGCCAUACAGAACCCGGCUUACAGGCCAGCUGGCAUU
rnacentral:RNase_P_RNA from 1 species